rnacentral:rRNA from 1 species
UAGGGAAUCUUCGGCAAUGGACGAAAGUCUGACCGAGCAACGCCGCGUGAGUGAAGAAGGUUUUCGGAUCGUAAAACUCUGUUGUUAGAGAAGAACAAGGACGUUAGUAACUGAACGUCCCCUGACGGUAUCUAACCAGAAAGCCACGGCUAACUACGUGCCAGCAGCCGCGGUAAUACGUAGGUGGCAAGCGUUUUCCGGAUUUAUUGGGCGUAAAGCGAGCGCAGGCGGUUUCUUAAGUCUGAUGUGAAAGCACCCGGCUCAACCGGGGAGGGUCAUUGGAAACUGGGAGAAUUGAGUGCAGAAGAGGAGAGUGGAAUUCCAUGUGUAGCGGUGAAAUGCGUAGAUAUAUGGAGGAACACCAGUGGCGAAGGCGGCUCUCUGGUCUGUAAAUGACGCUGAGGCUCGAAAGCGUGGGGAGCAAACAGG